CCCGUGACGUCACUUCCCCCUUCACCCUCCAUGACUGUUUUUGAGGAGGGUGAACUGAUGUCGACUGGGUGUUUUUCGUGCUGCUGAAGUAUUCAAUUCCAUACUAUGCAGAAUAAAAACGCCAUCACUUUGGCUGACCUGGAACUCCUGAGCCGUCUCCAUCCGCACAACGCAAAGCUUCAAUCGGUGAUUCAGCUUCUACAACAACUCUGAAGAGCCUUAGAUAAUAUGAGUUACAACAACAUCUAAUUUUCCCUUUGGGGUGACGGUAGGAGCCAAGCAGAUCCACCAGAGAGACAGGCCAAGGAGAUGAAUGAGAGACGGAUUGCUUCCCAGAUUAGUAUCCACCGAAGUGCUCAUUACCUGUGCAGGUACGGCAACAUGGAGGCAGCCAGAGACGUAUAGGGACAAGGCAGACUGAACUCAGUGUGGUAUUGUCUCUCGUCCCUCACAUGCUGGUUUCUCAGAACCUUUUUUUUGUUCCUCAUCAAUGAAAUAGUUACAUUUAACAUGAGAUUAAACAUUGUGCAUAGUGAAUCUUUUAAUGAUUGGGUGACUUUUGAAGGUAUUUGACCACGCUAAAUUUUGUUCACUUUCUCAGGGACCUGGUCCAAUAGUAUAUGAAGUGCACACUUUUCCGAUUUUAUUUGGAAAAUGAAAUCAAAUCAGAUCGAGAAAUGAAAAGCUGUUGGUUGGUUUGUCGCAUAAAAUCCUAAUAUUUAAACUUGAAGGAAUGAGAAAGUUUUGUGAACUUUCGACUAUUUCAAAGUUAUCUUGAUUGCUGCGUAUGACAUUUUACUUGAUAACUGUUGCAAGAUUUUUUUUAAGAUUUAGUUUUUAGUUUGCUUGUAUUUCAAAUAUUGUAGUGCAAACAGUGUUAAACAAUAUAUUCAACA